AUUGAACGCUGGCGGCCGGCUUAACACAUGCAAGUCGAGCGAGCGGCGGACGGGUGAGUAAUGUCUGGGAAACUGCCUGAUGGAGGGGGAUAACUACUGGAAACGGUAGCUAAUACCGCAUACCAUCGGAUGUGCCCAGAUGGGAUUAGCUAGUAGGUGGGGUAACGGCUCACCUAGGCGACGAUCCCUAGCUGGUCUGAGAGGAUGACCAGCCACACUGGAACUGAGACACGGUCCAGACUCCUACGGGAGGCAGCGGUGGGGAAGAUGGCACAAUGGGCGCAAGACUGAUGCAGCCAUGCCGCGUGUAUGAGUAAGGCCUUCGGGUUGUAAAGUACUUUCAGCGAGGAGGCGUUACUCGCAGAAGAAGCACCGGCUAACUCCGUGCCAGCAGCCGCGGUAAUUC
rnacentral:rRNA from 1 species